rnacentral:rRNA from 1 species
GACGAACGCUGGCGGCGUGCUUAACACAUGCAAGUCGUACGGUAAGGCCCUUUCGGGGGUACACGAGUGGCGAACGGGUGAGUAACACGUGAGUAACCUGCCCACAACUUUGGGAUAACGCUAGGAAACUGGUGCUAAUACUGGAUAUGUGCUCCUGCUGCAUGGUGGGGGUUGGAAAGCUCCGGCGGUUGUGGAUGGACUCGCGGCCUAUCAGCUUGUUGGUGGGGUAGUGGCCUACCAAGGCGGCGACGGGUAGCCGGCCUGAGAGGGUGACCGGCCACAUUGGGACUGAGAUACGGCCCAGACUCCUACGGUAGGCAGCAGGGGGGAAUAUUGCACAAUGGGCGCAAGCCGGAUGCAGCAACGCCGCGUGCGGGAGGACGGCCUUCGGGUUGUAAACCGCUUUCAGCAGGGACGAAGCUUUUUGUGACGGUACCUGCAGAAGAAGCACCGGCUAACUACGUG